GUGGGGAAUAUUGCACAAUGGGCGCAAGCCUGAUGCAGCAACGCCGCGUGCGGGAUGACGGCCUUCGGGUUGUAAACCGCUUUUAGUAGGGAAGAAGCCUUCGGGUGACGGUACCUGCAGAAAAAGGACCGGCUAACUACGUGCCAGCAGCCGCGGUAAUACGUAGGGUCCGAGCGUUGUCCGGAAUUAUUGGGCGUAAAGAGCUCGUAGGCGGUUUGUCGCGUCUGCUGUGAAAACUAGAGGCUCAACCUCUAGCCUGCAGUGGGUACGGGCAGACUUGAGUGGUGUAGGGGAGACUGGAAUUCCUGGUGUAGCGGUGGAAUGCGCAGAUAUCAGGAGGAACACCGAUGGCGAAGGCAGGUCUCUGGGCACUUACUGACGCUGAGGAGCGAAAGCGUGGGGAGCGAACAGGAUUAGAAACCCUAGUAGUCC
rnacentral:rRNA from 1 species